AAAAGCAAAGGAUUCCAUCAAACCUGGGCAGCCUGGUCUAGCGGCUGGUGAUCCUGCACAUAGCAGGGGGUUGAAACUAGGUGAUCAUUGUGGUCCUUUUCAACCCAGGCCAUUCUAUAAUUCUGUGAUUCUAUGAUUUUAUGAUGAAAUUGUAGCAAUAGAAAUUCCAGUGGUAUUCAAAAGGAGUAGGAAUGCACAGUUUAAUAGAACAGACGAGUUCACGUUUGUAUUUGAUGACAAUACUGACGUGAUUUCUUUAUCCAAAUCUACUUUUCUCUCUAUCAAUACAGGUUUACAGCACAUUAUUUUCACUCUGCCGAUAUUUCUCAACCCAUGCGCCCUGGAACACAGAAAUCCCAAAUCAAUGUCCUUGUUGUCUGCUUUACGUUGUAACUACAGACUUGCGUGCCCUGUGACGGGCGCUGCAGACAAAAAAGAUCGCGUUUGAACCCUGGUUUGCAUGGGACGGUAGCAGCGAGGGACGGCCACGCCGCCGCACCACCGCCGGCCACCAGGGGGCGCUGCUCCCCACCCACCGCCGGCGGCUCCUCUCGUCGGCGCUCUCUAUGGCCGUUGCCCGUGGCAGGGCCUCUGUUUACUUCCGGCAGGCCGGAGCGGCUGCAUGGGGCGCGGGGCCGAGCGCUGGCUGCGCGUUGCUAUGGCCGAACAGGCGGAGGAGGAAGACCUACCGGUGCCCGAAUCAGGGGCUGUUUUACUUUUGGAAAAAGCAACUUUGCAGAAAACAUUCCUAGCAAGUUCUGGUUCAGAAAUGACAAGCCGGUCCAUAUAUCAUGCGGAGAUGAACACACUGCUGUUGUUACAGAGCGUUUGUGGAGAAGGAACUGCAUAAGCAUAAAAUAAAUAAAGAAAUCCUCGAUACCAAACAGUUUUUUGGAACAUUGUAAAGUAGAGGCAAAAUUGAGGUAAGAUAUUGUGCAAAACUGAACAAAAUGAGAGAAACUGCACAAGUCAUGCAAAAUGAUAAAGACAGAAGAGAAGACAUCUAUGACCGUCAUUUGUUCUUCACAAGUAUGCAUGCGCACCACACAUUUCUGCUGUUAGAUGGAGUUGGAUGAUAGAGUGGAAUUAAAGCCUUUUGUGAAUGUCGUUGAACUGCAAUAAGAUCUGGAAAUAAAGAGCUCCAGAGGUGCGUGGUGAUAAUGAGUUUGCUGGAAGGAUGCAGACUAUGGGAGAAACAAGGAGCUCCUUGAAAUCCAGCUGAACCUGACUGGAAGAGAGAAAAGUAUCUCAAGCAGGUAUGUAUUAAUGCAUACUUCAUUUUAAUUUCAGUCUUUAUUUACAGGUGGCAUUUUCCACACCAUUUUUUUUCUCCUCCUCUGGAGGAUAUGGUGGGAAGUGUGAAUUUAGGGGAUAAAGAUAGAUUACAACAAUAGAAGUGUGUCAGAUUUACACUAACGUGUUAUACUAACAUGCCUCAGUGGUCAUAGGUAAAACAGUCAUGCAAGCUUAUUCAAAGCAUUCCUUAUGUUUGGGAUGGGAAAGACGGCUGUAUCUAGCACUUCAUUAAAAUGAAAAUGAAGAAAAUGUGCAGGAGGUAAUAUGCAGCAUUCUGAUAAAAUAUUCAGAACAUUUCAAAUACUUCUUUCAUGUAAUCCAACACCUGUAUUCCCCUAUGGCUUUUAGAAAGAAAAAUGUAAACUAAGCAUAAAAAACCUCUGGUCCUUGGCUUUCCAUGUCAGGAGUUACAGUCCAAAAUAAGUUCUAUUGACUCACUGUGGCUAUGUGUUGGAAUAGUGAACCAGUGAUCACAUUUCUUGCCACCAUUUCCUAUAUUUUUUGGCCUGAGAAUGCUGUUUACUUCCUGCAUCUUUUGUAACUGCAGGCUUUGGAAAGCAGUUUAUUAAUCCUGUUGGGAGAUAGUGUGAAGUAAGUUACGUUAACCAUAUUUUUAAGAAUCUCUUCCUAACGUUAUUCUAUUAAUAAUUUUCUACAAACCUCUUAAAAUUAACACCUGUCUUAUUGUUUAUAGGCCUUGAUUAGGGCAUACUAAGCAGAUCGCCCACAUUUGGUUGAAGAGACCAAUUCUAUUCACAAGGAUGAAGUGGUGGAAGGUGCAUCUUCUGGACUCAGAACUCUGGAGAGACUUGAAGCUCCCAGUGCAAGAGGGCAGAAGGAAAGAGAUUCAUGUGGACACAGAACGAGAUUAUAUGUGCAUAGUUUCAAGUUAUGUAAAGCACUAAAUAUUCAACAAUGUAGACCAAAGAAACAUUGGAAUCUCUCUGGGUCUUCAGACACCAAACUCCAUCUCUUCUCUCUACCUGCUGGCAAGCCAUUAGAAUAUGGUUCAGAACCUUUUACAGUUAGCUGCAAGAGGAAAAUGAAGAAUAUCACUGCAUGUUUGCAUUAGUUUUUGGUGUGCAUAGGAGCAAGCAACAUACUGCACUGUUUUGGUUUGUACGAUGCUAAAUAUCUGAAGCAUGACUGUUCUUACCUCUCAGUAAAACUUUUCAGAAUAUUAUGAUUUGUCUAAGAAAACUGAUAUCAUUCCCACUUUCAUGAGCUGUAUUUGAAUUGUAUAUGAAUUCUUGUUUAUUCAUGAAAUAGCACAAAUAAAAAAAACAACAUGAUGCUUGGCAUAUAUUCAAAAUUUUCUUCUGAUAAAAACUUCACGGUGUAAUCCAGUAAUAACUGUUUGAAGUCGCUGUCUACUCUACCUGUUUUAGCUCUCUUGCACAUUUAUACCAUGUAGAAACCCAGAGGGAAAAUGCAUGGAGCACAGAUGAUAUAAACAGAUGGCUGUCUGCUAUUAUCAUUGAGUAUUUCAGCUUCCUCUGAAUUCCUCAACUGCUGUAUGACUGCUUUUAGCCUGGCUUCAUGGACCGGGGCACCACAGGACAAAUGGAGUCGUAAGCAAUCAUGGUUGUGAUAGCAGCCACCAUAUGAGCUAUCUACUAGUUAGGAGACACUCUCUUUCUGAAGUCUCACAAAAUUCUCUGUUCUGAAAGACGUAAGCAUCUAGUGGCUUCUGUUAAUAUAUCCAAAUUAGUGUUGGCGAAACAUCCACUGGUGAUGUGCUUAUGUCUGCAUGCUUUGGGGAGAUAGCCCAAUCUUGCAUCUGGGGAGGUGCAGACUAGUGGUAGGUGUAUGUUUACAUCACCAAAACAGUCCGAGUAGUUUCUUUAUAUCUUGCUGUAUCUGUUCUUUUCCCUAACUGUACUGUACCUGUCUUCUGCCCGCUUUACCAGGGGGCCACAAUCUGCACAAAAGUGGAUGCAAGAAUCAUAGACUCAUAGAAUGGCCUGGGUUGAAAAGGACCACAGUGAUUAUCUAGUUUCAACCCCCCAGCUACGUGCAGGGUCACCAACCACCUGACCAGGCUGCCCAAAGAGUGAUUUGAGUUCGUGAGGUUUUUUAAAUGAUCCUUGCCUAUUUGUCUGCUGCUAAAGUCGUUCUCACUUCAGAAUGUCUGUGGUGAUGACUGCAGAUAACUUGGUACUCAAUUAUGAAAAUAGGGCAUUUUGCAAAGCUUUGUAGUGUUUCUUGGCCUGCUGAGAUUCCAUCAAAUGCUUGUUUUAAACCUGUUUUGCUAUACAGACCUAGAAACGUUGCUUCAUUAUAGGUGUUUGGUAGGGUUUGUGUGUAGUGCCUGUUAGUUUUUAUUCACUGUCUGAAUUACCUAGUUCUCAGUUUUCUUUUUUUCUGUUACACUGCUGAGUGCUGAAAGCCUGAAAUUAUCAAAGGCUGUCACUCAGCUGGUAAAGAAUAUAACAGAAUUCUGCUCGUCUGUUAAGCUUCUUGUCUUAUAAAGCAAUGUUUGAGAACUAAAAGAUUGCUAUAAGAAACAGCAGAUUAUGGGAUUAAAAGCAUGACCUGCUGGAAUUCUGAAUGGGUAAAAGAGAAUGUGACUUAAUUGAAUUAUGGCAACUUGAUAUCGUAUUCCCACAUGAGUUUACAGUGGUCGGCCUUUAAAAUAUAUGUAAUAGAGCUACAAACAUGCAUAUAACAGUGUUGGAUGCCACUUGCUAAUAAAAAUUCUCCCCCUUAAGAUGUGUUUUGUUUUCAGUGAUAUACCUCUGCAUAUGUUUUGGCAUGGUUGCAUUACCAAAAUCAGGGUGGUGAUAUAAAUGCUAUUACUGAAAUGUGGUAAGCGUAGCCUUGACCUCAGGCUUUCCUCCAUUUCAGCUUUACUGGAAAGACAUAGUGUUGACAUGUAAUUGUCAAAUCUAACAAUUUGAUUGAGAUGUUAGGUAGUAGUUACUGUUCAAAUUUUUUUUAAUUACUAUUUUUAUUUUAAAUUUCUGGUAGUAUUUGAGAAAACAAAUGGAUUUUUGUAACUAUUCUUACUAUGUUUUAAAAAUCUCAAAAAUCAUAUUUUUAGGAGGAAGUUUUUCACACACAGGGUGGUGACACACUGGAGCAGGUUGCCCAAGGAGGUUGUGGAUGCCCCAUCCCUGUAGUCAUUCAAGGCCAGGCUGGAUGUGGCUCUGGGCAGCCUGCUCUGGUGGUUGAUGACUCUGCACAUAGCAGGGAGGUUGAAACUGGAUGAUCUUUUCAACCCAGGCCAUUCUAUGACUCUGUGAUAUUUCAAAGUCUCUUUAAAUCACAUUCAGAACAUUCACAAGGAGCCAAUGCUAAGGAAGUGCAGACUUAAUAUUUUGGUAUUAUUGUGUGGAAUUGCUAUUAUGCAUUGUGCUCAUGUGAUAACUGAUGGCUAGGGUGACUGAAAGUUUAUUUACAUAACAACACCAUGAUGGAAUCUAACUCACAAAUGCAGAGGAUCAGCAAAAGUAAAUGGUCUUGUUUUAACAGUUAUGAAGGGGAUUUUGGUUGGUUGGUUUUGGAUUAUUUUUUUGACAAACCAGCUUCUGUUGUUGGAGGUGGGAUUUUACUUUUGGAUAAGAUGUUCGCAGUUUUACAAGAGCCAUUAAUUUAAAAAAUGAAGUGAUAUGAAUAAAUUUAAGGUAUUGUUAAUAGUGUGAUGUGACACUCCGAUCUGCAUGCCCAAUGAGAAAACUUUUAUCUGCUCAUUUUUCAUCCUCUUAGAAAAGUGGGUUAUUCUGAAUGAAAACAAUUCGCUGCUUGUGAUGUCAAACCUGCAAAUUCAAAAACAAUGUCAUACAAGUUUCUGAAAUACAACUUUAGCAUUAUUCCUGUUGAAGAUUUCAUAUAGGCACACAAAACUCCCUGACUGCAUGGUGUUUUUACACAUUCCUUCUUUAUAGACAGAGUACCAGAUUAAUCCACGAUGAGAGAUGCAAAGAAGAAGAAAGGCUCUUGUCGUAGACACAUUUGUCCAAAGGAAAACCCAUUUAAUUUGUGAGCACAUUAGAAAAUGUAUUGUAAAUUAUGUUGUGAGGAACUACAAUUUGCAGGUCAUUUUAAGACAGGACACUUAGCAAUUAAAUAUUUUCCCCCAGUAGACAACAAAAUAAGCUGAGAAUGGCAAAUGUUUGUUUAUAUUAAUUAUAUUGCUGCAUUAUUGAUGUCCGUGUCUGAGGUAGAGGUGUGGGUGCUCAGUUAAAUGCACUGUUAUUUUGCCAGUAUGUCUAUAGAGACUGCUAAGUCUGUCUGAGAGCACUCCUUUUUUAUUUUCUGAUGAGUGCUUUAUCUGAGCAGUAGCUUAAGGGAAGGGUGCUUGUUCUCCUCUUUUGUCAUUUCUUCUGUGUACCUAUUUCUUACUAAGUACAUCUACAAUGCAGUACUUGCGGACAAAUCAGGUCAUACACAUGGCAUUGCCUACUUCUAUAUCUUACAUUAAAAAGUU
rnacentral:lncRNA from 1 species